GGGGAUUUAGCAGUCCAGGACCGAGGUCAGCGAAGAAGAGGAUCUGAGAUGUAGGCUCCAAGCUCAGACCAGGAAGAGGGCUCCCGGGAGCAGAGGUCGCCAACCCAUGCCCAAUGCCUGAAGGAAACCAACCACCCCAGAGCCUGAAUUUGUGCUAGAUGAAGACUGGAACUCCCUUGACUAAGCUCUUGACCUUCAAGAACAGGGACCAUCCGUAACACACAGUAUGUCCUACAGGUGUCCAAGACACACACCAGCUGAAUAUAUGAAUGAAUGAUGUCUAUAAACAUCUUAGAGGGCAUAAAUACCCACCCACAUCCAUCAUGAACUCCCUGCACACUUACCAGAAGCCCACCAGUCCCACCUGCAGGGGUGCCCCCAGCCAGGGGCGGCGCUGUGAGGAGAGAGACAAUGGAAUGGCUUGUGUCCCCUGCCUCGCUAACCUUCACCUCAUCUCACCCAACACAGCUCUCCCCCAUCGGCCCGGUCCUGCCCUUGACCCCCAGGACUUGUGGCCCUUUUCUUUCUCCCAAGCCCAAGUCUGGGGUGGGACCUCCAGACUGCAGCCUUCCACUCCAGCCAGGCCUGGGUGCCAACACCCUCCCUGGUAUCCCACCACCCAUUCCCACCCUUCAGAAUUGCUUCCCAAGGCACUCCCUGGCCCACUUUCUCUUCCCUCACUUGCUCCAGAGGCUGCUUUCUACAGGGACCCUCCUCUGAGCCUCUACUCAUUGUCUCCCAUCCCAGUGGCAUGAAACUGUCCCUUUCCAAACACAUCUCCAGCUCAGCACACCCGUCUCGAUUCACUGUAGCCACAGGGACCACCUGUUCCUCAAAUGUGCAAGCCUGUUCCUGCCUCAGGGCCUUUGCACUGGCUGUUCUCACUACCUGAAACACUCCUCUCUGUGCUCUUUGCCCAGCUUCUCCUUCCCAUCCUUUUGGUCUUCCGAGGCCCCUUCUCCCAGCACCCUGUCUAAACAGCUCUCCCCCAUUAGUCUCAAUUACCAUGUCCCAUGCCCCAUUGGUUUCCUGGAAAGCACAUAGUGUAACUUAUGAUAUAUUUAUUGGCUGCCUCCUUGUUUAUUGGCUUCUGCACUAAACUGUAAACUUCAUGAGGACAGGGACUAUGACCAUCUUGUUCAGUGCUGUCUCCUUAGCCCUAAAACAUACCUGGCACAUAGU